rnacentral:rRNA from 1 species
UACGUAGGGUGCAAGCGUUAAUCGGAAUUACUGGGCGUAAAGCGUGCGCAGGCGGUUUUGUAAGUCUGUCGUGAAAGCCCCCGGGCUCAACCUGGGAAUUGCGAUGGAGACUGCAAGGCUUGAAUCUGGCAGAGGGGGGUAGAAUUCCACGUGUAGCAGUGAAAUGCGUAGAGAUGUGGAGGAACACCGGUGGCGAAGGCAGCCCCCUGGGUCAAGAUUGACGCUCAUGCACGAAAGCGUGGGGAGCAAACAGG